GUCGUACUUAUCAGCUUCCUUCCUUCCUCCAAGUCAGAAUGCUGUCCUGCGGACGUAACAGACGUUAGUCACGCUAGCUUCGGGGCUACAGUUAGCUACUGUAGCCAGCAGCCACAGCGCAAGGUAUGAACUGAGGCCUAUACAGCAAACUAGAUCACAGAACACAGAGGGGGCCAUGAUGACCCCAUCCCAGAGGAGCCUGCUGUUUUGCCUGGAAGGUAAAGAGCUGGGAUGCAGAGGAGUUUUUUGAUUUAAUCACCGUGCUCCACAGUGCACAAUGUGCACUAGGAGGAGAUGGCAAUUAUAACGCCCAUGCCGGCCUGCUGUCCUGCCCGUGUGGUGAUGUAUUCCCCGGGGCGGUCACAGGGAGACGGCGGCGGGGGCACCGCUACCAUGAAAGAGACCACAAAUCCCCCCCCAUCCAACGCAGACACCAGCAGGCUCAUCACUCUGCACUAAGAGCCAAUGACGAGCCGGAUCACUGGGGCGUGCCUCACUUAGUUGGAGCCUCCGUUUGAGCAGGAUAAACACUUUAAAACAAGCUGACAGCACCGUGCCCGUCCAUGUCACAGAUGAUGAGAGACAAAAGGCACGCAGAGGGCAGCAAAAACAGGUAAUUACCUCAUACCUACACUUUCAUAAGGGCGACACCCUCAGCAUUCAUAUUUCUGUGUAUUAUAAUUAGGAAAACCAGGCCACAGACUGGGGAUGCGUUUGAGGACACGUAGACUUGCAGACUUUGAUGAAAUCCGAGGUGUCAAGCAGACAUGAAGGGACCACAGCACUUGUGCCCUUCGCUCUCGGUCUCGUGUUUAUGCUGCAUGCAGUAAAAGAGGCUUCUCGUAGAGAUCCUUCGCCUUUAUGGUGCUCCAUGUGAUUGAUUAUUUAGUGGAAAAAAACUCCACAGUUCAAAUCAGUGUGAAGCCAGCAAAUAAAGUCAAAUAACAAGGGAGAGUGCAGGUCUGAGGGAGGGAAAGAUCUCAAGAUGUUUUUGAAGCGAGUCAGAGUAGCCAAAGGCGAGUAGAUCUUCACGCUUUCAUAUCCCCCUUUUUAAUAUUUCUACCCCAUUUUAAUGAUGUGCUUCCUAUCCUUGAGUAAAGUUCUUCAUAGCCAGUCUUUUUGCCAGAAAGGAUUUUUUCUCUUUGAAAUAAAAUGUAAGUAUAUAUUUAGUCUCCUAGUUUAGAGGCUUACAGGCCAAGGCAGAUAUUCAAAUUUGUGCUUUUAUGAAUACGCAUAUUGACGGUUUUCUGGCAAUUGCCAAAAUGUUAACAAUAUUUUAAUAAACAGUGUGUACGUUCUGCUCUUCGCUGGAGGAUGAUGAAGCUUCCAUUUGUAAAUUAACAAAAUUAAUCACAUUAUUAAAUAUUCCUCUGUCAUCUGUGUAGUGCAAAAAUAUAAUCUGCAUAUGUAACCAAUGAGAAUAAACAGGCAGGACUCAGUGUGCACAUGCAUAAAGGAACAUGGGGGCUUUGCAUAAAGAAAAAUCAAAUAUUGAUGAUGAUAGUGGAGAAACUUCCAACAGAGAAAAACAAUGAAAACCAAAGCAGCAGGCGCCUGUCAUUACAACAGCUAUAAGUGUUUGAGGCCCGGAUAUCAAAGCCGAGCCUUUGAUAUAACCAGUUUCACAGAGAGCUGCUCUCCUUAAAACCAGCUAUAAUGAAGGCAUCUCAUCCCUCUGUCCAUCACAAGCCAGAGCUGCGUACUUCCAGUCACAAAGCCUCGGGCCAACUGAAUAUACCUGCAUCUCUUUUUCUCCUCGACUAAAAGGGACACUCUUGAAAUGAGAUGCAGCCAGGAAAGUUGUAAUAUGACAUUUCUUAGUUCGUAUUAGGCAGUAGAGGCAGCAAAAAGCCACAAAGAGACCCAGUAUAAUAAUCUGGAUAGGUCUUGUCAGGGUUUGUGUUAUUUACAAAAAGAAUUUGCAAUGAAUGCAGAAAAAGAAGCCAAAGAAAAAUUCUUUCAUAGGAUUUACUUCUCUAAAUACUCCUCUCACACACACAGAUACACGACAACUAGAUAGAUAUAUAUAGAUACUUUAUUAAUCCUGAGGGAAAUUCAAGCUAAACUAAAGAAAGAUGACAGUUUUAUUAUUAUCUAUUUUUGUCUACAUCCACUUUACGAGCCUUUCAAAAACUACUACAUUUACGCUUACAGUUUACAGUUACAGGUUUCACAGUGUUGUUGAACCGAUUGUUCUGUAAGAAAAUAUUAACAACUUUCCGGCGAAGGCGUUGAAAGGGAAAUAUGUAUAGAACCGGCCCCCCCCCACUCCCUCCCCUGUCUUAAGGCAGAGAUAGCCAUUGAAAAAGUGCUGGUUCAGUCUCCUUCUGUCUCUGGGCAUAGCUUUGAUCAGUCCCACCUCAAGACUUAUCCUAGAGGGAACAUUGCACCUCUAUUCUCCAUGGCUAAUCAUACUUCCUGUCUUUGUCUUUAUGUGCUUUAGACAAGCGUCAGAUAGAAGCACAGGAACAGAUUUGCCCUGAAAACCUGGAGAAUAAAGCCUCUGGUUGUGCUGCAACUCGUCUUUUCCAGCAGAUUUCCUCAUGAAUAUUUCCACUGUUUUGGAGUGGUAGAUUUCACCCCAUUGCUGCUUUGAGAAAAGGCACUUUUGAGAGACAAGGAAAAAAAGCCUUACGGAGUUCAAGAUGCCAGAGUAAAUGUACUGUAUGUCACCUGACUGUGGUGGAUAAUGUAUUUUUAGCUGUACCUACAGCUGUUCGGUGACAUGAAGGCCAGAGGUUCUGUCUUGCUUGUUGUACAGUGCAGACACCUUCCUCUGAGCCACGUCGCCUUACUACACAGAAGAGACAAGACUCAAGCAGCGAAAUGGUUAACAAAAUAAUUUUACAUGCACAGCAUAUUCUUUGGGCUCAGGCAAUAUUGCUCUGCUUGCCACCAGUGGCACUUUUCACCAAGAAAUGUGCUUUGUGUGUUUCACACAAGUACAGAAAAGACCAUUUAUGCCAGGAGCCAAAAAGAAUAAAAAGAAAAAGACAAAAAUCCCUUUUCUUUUCUCGGGGAAGCUGAAGGCUAUGAAAACCAUCUUGUGUUCUAUUUUUGAACUGAUUUCCAUCUCCAUGGCCACCUGAGGGAGGUCAGGCUGCUCUGGCCAACUUCCUCACAGGGAGAGGGACCAGCGGUGACAGGGACACAAACCCAGAGACAAACCAACCUCCAUCCGUUCCAACACCCACGCCACUCAUUAUCCUCACUGGCACCAUCAAGACUCUCACAUGGAUAUAGAAAUUAAUCGCCAUAAAGAAACAGAAAACAACAAAAUCCUUCUUCUUUUCACUUCUUUCUUGCUGUUUUUCUUCUGCUUCAAAGCCUGUAACUCUCUGCUGUGCCCUAGGGUUAAUUAACAUGAACCAAACAGUGAAUGAUCAGAGAGAAUGGGAAAUCUCCAAAGGUUAAGUGUCACAUGGGAAGCGUGUUGUCAGAAGAAGGAGAGGAGGUAGGCUGUUUUUUUUUUUUCUUUUUCUUUUUCUGCACAUUCAAAAUCAAGUGAGAGCGCAGCGGUACAGAGGGAAGAAAUUUGUAGACACCUUUCCAAAACUUUGCAUUUCUCCUGUCAGAGGGGCAGAGCUUCACAGUCUGGCUUCAAACAAUAUCUGUAAUUCCAUGACAUUUUGAUGAGCCAAAGAACGCCGCAGUUCGUCUCCAACUUGCUGAUCUUUCAACGGAUUUGUUCUCCUUCCUGUGUAUCAUUAUAAUUCACUUUAGGGAAGUAUGCAGAACACCAUUUCAUAAUGUGAUAAGCAAAAAGCUCGCGGAAGAAAAAACACAUCCAUCACAAAGUUAAUCACUGCUUUUAUAGACCUACUCAUUGAAAUUGUGUCUCCUCUUGGUAUCCCCGCAGGGAAAAAGAGAAAAUGACUUCAUGAUCCACAGAUAUCCUGGAUAGCAUGUCUUGCAGGGGAAACAGUAUGAUUUCUCUCUGUAAUAAUUAACAUGGGCUCCUCUUCUCUCCCUGUGGCUUGUCGCUGACAUUUGGUUCAUGCUCGAGUGUCUGCCUAGCUGAUUUCAAUCUCUUGCAUGAAGGUGAGGCUGUGUUUGUAUGUGUGUGUGAGUGUGUGUGUGCGUGCAUAGGGUCCGGUGGCCAGUCUGACAAGGACACCGAAGGCAGGGUCUGCCUUCAGAAGACAGGCUUAAGCAUCAUGACAAUAUGGAUUAAAGACCCCCUCAGUCAAUCCCAGACCUCCAGCAGAUGGACUGACUGCAGCCAAAACCCAAGAGGAGACAGGCCUUAUUCUGCUCUCUUAUGUUGUUUCAAUCACCAGUCUACUGUACAAAGGAGGCAGCCUGAUGGCAUGAUGAGUGCACAGCGCUCAUCUGCCUGCGCUGUUGUCUCAGUUUGAGCCUCAUAAAAGGAAGCGGGCCUGACGAUGCCAGAGGCAGAGGAUCCGGCUUCACGGUCUGAGCAGAGAAACAUCAGCAGAGCGCCAUUCUUUAGAAGGAGAUGUCCUUCAGUGUGGUGCCAACUCUCCCUGGGGCAGCAGCAGAAGACACAGCCUCUUAUUUACCAUAUACAGGAUCUCUCCGUGCCCUUAAUGAGCCAGGAUAUUCAGCAUCACAGAGACAAAGGCCACGCUUUCACUGAAGAAGCUGUGGUUUUGCUGAAUUAAAUAAUGAUAAUUAAGAAAAUAUUAAUCAAACUCUGGCUCUCUGUGCUCUGUAGAUGUGUUGAGGGAGCGGGUCUUCCAGCUUAGCCUGUAGGAGUUCUCAUUUAGAGUAUGCCUGCGACCUAUAGAGCUGCAGGCAAACGCGCACACACACACAGAUGCACACAAUUAAAAGCAGACCCUGGUGGCCUUCUACUCUAUAAUUAAACACCCUUUGGUGCUCUGCACAAAAAUACUGAGCCGGGUUCAGAUGUGUCAAGGAGAGAGGAGUGAAAGGAAACGUUAAGGAGCUGUUGGUUCUCCACGUCGCAAGUUCUGUUCAAUGCAAUGAAUUAAUAAAAAGCACAAACUAAUACCUUCCUGAUGUGCAGUUGGUAUGUCUGGCGGGCCAGCAGCAGCUAUACAGCUGUACUGUGAAACUUUAAUGCUGCUGGAUGCCUUAAGCACUGCCUGGGCUUUUUCUCUGAGGUGGGGGUGUGGAUGCGGGGGGGUCUCUUUUUCAUAUAUUCAAUCUAACUGGGGCAAGUAUUUGAAGAGAGAAAGGAUUCCUCUGACCAAGAUGCAGCUAUCUGACAGGUGGGAAUCAUAACUGGAUCCUUAUCAGCAUCUUAAAAUAUUAUUUUUUGCCAAAAAAAAUCCUCAUAUAACUUUUUCUGAAUCUAAAAUACUCAAAACUCUCCACUCAAAUUCAAAUGUUAUUAGGUGAUUAUAUGGUAUUAUUCUUCACCUUUUAGACUUCAGAGUGCUUGUCAUUUGGCUCUAGUUGUUAUGGUAAUGUGAGGUAUUCCAUCUCUUUCCCAGCAUGCUCUGUGUUUGACAUUCAUGGGGUUAAAGUCCUCUGAAUGAUGAAGUGCCAGUGUUUGGGACAGUAAAUUGCAUCGUUUCAAUUGAGAAGAGAGUUCCCCUUGGGUUUGCUGGAGGUCCCUACGGGCUGGCCUUGAACAGAACAGCAUGUUGUACAUCCAUAUAAAAAAGGGGAAAAAUAUGGUGGUACUUUUCUCUUUAUGAUGCAGAGAUUAAUCUGUCACCAUAUUCAUGCAUAAAUCUCACUCCCUGCUUUGCAAAAUACUGUUUUAUCUUACUUUACUCUAUAUUUUAUUUUUUUAUUGCCCAUAAACACAAACCAUCACAAAGGGCUAAUGUUCUCAUCAAUAUUAUUACAAAAUGAUCAUAAAUCCAAUGCCUUGUUAAAAUCGGAAGCCAUUUCUCUCCUCAGCUACUCAACCAUUGAAAUAUUAGACAGAAGCAUUAUUUUAUCAGCCAAUUUCUUUCACAAUAAUAGAUGAUCUUCGAUCAUAUUUGAGCUACAGUACACCACUUAGUUUUCAUUAGAUCAUUGCAUUUUCCUUCCCAUCCUUUCCCCGUUCACUGUGUUCAGCAGUACUGAUCUUGCCUUUUGGGGCUAUUUUUUCUUAUACUUCAGUAGAAAUGCCUUGACAACACUGUGGUGGUUAUUUCAUCCUGAGAGACCACAGACUAAACAGCAGAAACACGUUGUAUAGACGCUUGUUUAGUGGUAUGCAAAUCAUCUUAGCCAGAGGUAAAAUUAACAUUUUCAAUUAAAAUAUUAGCACCAAACAAACACGGAAAAACACACUAAUGAUUAAAUCAUCUUGAUAGAAUCUCAUAGUGGAAAAUGAGGCUGAUUUCUUGUGAUUCUUAGCGUGAAAAAGACGCGGUAUCGAUCGUGCAUUGCCCUGUUUUUGUGAAGUCGUAAGUCUUUAAGCUUGCAAAUGAAGUGUUCAGCUGAAAGUUAGAAUUCAAAGAAGUUCAUUAAAAAAUGUAGUUGUUAACAUUCACAGAUUCACACUCUUUGUAUCCCUUGUGCAAACAAAAACUUGCCCAAUUGCUUUUUAAAUUCAUUUUCACAGACUUGACAACCUCCAGUAAUUAAGGAGGAUAAUAAUGAAUUGCAACAAUUUCAUUCAUGAUAAAAUGUUUCAUUGUAUUUAAACAUUUUAAAGCUCUGCAUUUCAUCAGCAGGUAUCAGACAGUGUGAGACCUUCAGACUGAGAUACUGGAGCUCUCAGCAGAUGCUUUUAAUGCUACUAUAUCGCCCUCUGGUGGCCGUACAGGCAAACAUCAAUUAAGAAUCAAAGUGGAAGAGGCCAAGAAGUACUUUCUGGUAGUCUCCCUUGGUAUGUUCCUGCAUGAAGAAAAGUAACAGAGCAGUGUUGUUGCUAAUGACCGACGCUUCACAAGGAACAGCACAGGUCUCCGCAUCCUCGUUCUGGUUUCUCUCCAAAUAUGAGGACACACAGGGUUUAACCAGGGAUGUUGGAUGAGGGUGAACCAAAGAUCCCACACAUCGGGACGUGCUGGAGGGCCAGUUGGAUCUUCUGCUGGAGCUUCUCCACCUUCACCUUCUCCUGGAGCCAAGACCGGUCUGGAAGUUCAGCCAUGGACACGGUGGGGGAGGUUUCUCCGUUGGUGAAGGAGCAGUAAGGGAAGAAGCCAGAGCCCGGGGCAAAGUCGCAGAUGGGCUCCGGCUUGAUGCCGUUGAUGUCCAGGCCUGACUGGUCGGGAG